rnacentral:rRNA from 1 species
GUGGGGAAUCUUCCGCAAUGGACGAAAGUCUGACGGAGCGACGCCGCGUGAGUGAAGAAGGCCUUCGGGUCGUAAAGCUCUGUCAUCAGGGACGAACGGCCGGUGGAGUGGAAAGCCACCGGAUUGACGGUACCUGAGAAGGAAGCCACGGCUAACUACGUGCCAGCAGCCGCGGUAAUACGUAGGUGGCAAGCGUUGUCCGGAAUUAUUGUGCGUAAAGCGCGCGCAGGUGGGAUCUUAAGUCCAUUUUGAAAGUUCGGAGCUCAACUCCGUGAUGGGAUGGAAACUGGGAUUCUUGAGUACCGGAGAGGAAAGCGGAAUUCCCCGUGUAGCGGUGAAAUGCGUAGAUAUGGGGAGGAACACCAGUGGCGAAGGCGGCUUUCUGGACGGUGUCUGACACUGAGGCGCGAAAGCUAGGGGAGCGAACGGGAUUAGAAACCCGUGUAGUCC